rnacentral:rRNA from 2 species
UUAAGCGACUAAGCGUACACGGUGGAUGCCCUGGCAGUCAGAGGCGAUGAAGGACGUGCUAAUCUGCGAUAAGCGUCGGUAAGGUGAUAUGAACCGUUAUAACCGGCGAUUUCCGAAUGGGGAAACCCAGUGUGAUUCGUCACACUAUCAUUAACUGAAUCCAUAGGUUAAUGAGGCGAACCGGGGGAACUGAAACAUCUAAGUACCCCGAGGAAAAGAAAUCAACCGAGAUUCCCCCAGUAGCGGCGAGCGAACGGGGAGCAGCCCAGAGCCUGAAUCAGUGUGUGUGUUAGUGGAAGCGUCUGGAAAGGCGCGCGAUACAGGGUGACAGCCCCGUACACAAAAAUGCACAUACUGUGAGCUCGAUGAGUAGGGCGGGACACGUGGUAUCCUGUCUGAAUAUGGGGGGACCAUCCUCCAAGGCUAAAUACUCCUGACUGACCGAUAGUGAACCAGUACCGUGAGGGAAAGGCGAAAAGAACCCCGGCGAGGGGAGUGAAAAAGAACCUGAAACCGUGUACGUACAAGCAGUGGGAGCCCUGAUUUAUCAGGGUGACUGCGUACCUUUUGUAUAAUGGGUCAGCGACUUAUAUUCUGUAGCAAGGUUAACCGAAUAGGGGAGCCGAAGGGAAACCGAGUCUUAACUGGGCGUUAAGUUGCAGGGUAUAGACCCGAAACCCGGUGAUCUAGCCAUGGGCAGGUUGAAGGUUGGGUAACACUAACUGGAGGACCGAACCGACUAAUGUUGAAAAAUUAGCGGAUGACUUGUGGCUGGGGGUGAAAGGCCAAUCAAACCGGGAGAUAGCUGGUUCUCCCCGAAAGCUAUUUAGGUAGCGCCUCGUGAAUUCAUCUCCGGGGGUAGAGCACUGUUUCGGCAAGGGGGUCAUCCCGACUUACCAACCCGAUGCAAACUGCGAAUACCGGAGAAUGUUAUCACGGGAGACACACGGCGGGUGCUAACGUCCGUCGUGAAGAGGGAAACAACCCAGACCGCCAGCUAAGGUCCCAAAGUCAUGGUUAAGUGGGAAACGAUGUGGGAAGGCCCAGACAGCCAGGAUGUUGGCUUAGAAGCAGCCAUCAUUUAAAGAAAGCGUAAUAGCUCACUGGUCGAGUCGGCCUGCGCGGAAGAUGUAACGGGGCUAAACCAUGCACCGAAGCUGCGGCAGCGACACUAUGUGUUGUUGGGUAGGGGAGCGUUCUGUAAGCCUGUGAAGGUGGCCUGUGAGGGUUGCUGGAGGUAUCAGAAGUGCGAAUGCUGACAUAAGUAACGAUAAAGCGGGUGAAAAGCCCGCUCGCCGGAAGACCAAGGGUUCCUGUCCAACGUUAAUCGGGGCAGGGUGAGUCGACCCCUAAGGCGAGGCCGAAAGGCGUAGUCGAUGGGAAACAGGUUAAUAUUCCUGUACUUGGUGUUACUGCGAAGGGGGGACGGAGAAGGCUAUGUUGGCCGGGCGACGGUUGUCCCGGUUUAAGCGUGUAGGCUGGUUUUCCAGGCAAAUCCGGAAAAUCAAGGCUGAGGCGUGAUGACGAGGCACUACGGUGCUGAAGCAACAAAUGCCCUGCUUCCAGGAAAAGCCUCUAAGCAUCAGGUAACAUCAAAUCGUACCCCAAACCGACACAGGUGGUCAGGUAGAGAAUACCAAGGCGCUUGAGAGAACUCGGGUGAAGGAACUAGGCAAAAUGGUGCCGUAACUUCGGGAGAAGGCACGCUGAUGCGUAGGUGAAGCGACUUGCUCGUGGAGCUGAAAUCAGUCGAAGAUACCAGCUGGCUGCAACUGUUUAUUAAAAACACAGCACUGUGCAAACACGAAAGUGGACGUAUACGGUGUGACGCCUGCCCGGUGCCGGAAGGUUAAUUGAUGGGGUCAGCCGCAAGGCGAAGCUCUUGAUCGAAGCCCCGGUAAACGGCGGCCGUAACUAUAACGGUCCUAAGGUAGCGAAAUUCCUUGUCGGGUAAGUUCCGACCUGCACGAAUGGCGUAAUGAUGGCCAGGCUGUCUCCACCCGAGACUCAGUGAAAUUGAACUCGCUGUGAAGAUGCAGUGUACCCGCGGCAAGACGGAAAGACCCCGUGAACCUUUACUAUAGCUUGACACUGAACAUUGAGCCUUGAUGUGUAGGAUAGGUGGGAGGCUUUGAAGCGUGGACGCCAGUCUGCGUGGAGCCGACCUUGAAAUACCACCCUUUAAUGUUUGAUGUUCUAACGUGGACCCGUGAUCCGGGUUGCGGACAGUGUCUGGUGGGUAGUUUGACUGGGGCGGUCUCCUCCUAAAGAGUAACGGAGGAGCACGAAGGUUGGCUAAUCCUGGUCGGACAUCAGGAGGUUAGUGCAAUGGCAUAAGCCAGCUUGACUGCGAGCGUGACGGCGCGAGCAGGUGCGAAAGCAGGUCAUAGUGAUCCGGUGGUUCUGAAUGGAAGGGCCAUCGCUCAACGGAUAAAAGGUACUCCGGGGAUAACAGGCUGAUACCGCCCAAGAGUUCAUAUCGACGGCGGUGUUUGGCACCUCGAUGUCGGCUCAUCACAUCCUGGGGCUGAAGUAGGUCCCAAGGGUAUGGCUGUUCGCCAUUUAAAGUGGUACGCGAGCUGGGUUUAGAACGUCGUGAGACAGUUCGGUCCCUAUCUGCCGUGGGCGCUGGAGAACUGAGGGGGGCUGCUCCUAGUACGAGAGGACCGGAGUGGACGCAUCACUGGUGUUCGGGUUGUCAUGCCAAUGGCACUGCCCGGUAGCUAAAUGCGGAAGAGAUAAGUGCUGAAAGCAUCUAAGCACGAAACUUGCCCCGAGAUGAGUUCUCCCUGACUCCUUGAGAGUCCUGAAGGAACGUUGAAGACGACGACGUUGAUAGGCCGGGUGUGUAAGCGCAGCGAUGCGUUGAGCUAACCGGUACUAAUGAACCGUGAGGCUUAACCUU